GUUGAACUUGCAUCCCAUUUGAAGAAUUAUAUUCUUUAAUCUACCGCAGAGAGUUGUUUUUCUCUCUUUUUUAUUGUUGUUUUUUUUUUAGGGAUUAGGACCCGUACGAUGUGAAGGAAAAGGAAUCUAGAGGAAAAGAAAGGAGGUAAAAAGGAAUUAGAAGACGAAAGUUCGAAAGAAAGGCAGUGAUAGAGUAAGUUCUUUUGUUUUAUUUGUUGACACUUGGUUCUAUGUUCAUACCUGCAAUGUGUGUGUGUGUGUGUGUGUGUGUGUGCGUGCGUAUGUGUGUGAAUGUGCGGUGAAUGUAUAUAUGCGUGAUUGCGUGUCUGACAGUAUGAAACUAUUUGUUGUCAUCGUUUAUUUUCCCCCACUCAACCGAUGGGAGGGAUCACCGUAUUCAUUUAAAACACCAGUCCCACCUUCUCUGUUGUGGAUCGUCCAAAAUCUACCAUUUCGCAUCCGAUCCUGUUGUCUUUUGUUUUUAUGACUUUUUCUUUUUAGUUUACUUUGUUCUAUCUAUGUUUGCCAUUUUCUUUCUUGUUUUGUUUUAUAUUUGUAGUCACUGCUACUUGUGACCAUAAUUACAUCUUAUAUUUGUCUUCAUGGUAGGAGCAAAAUGAAUAAUUGUGGACAGGAGAGAUUAUUGGGGUUCGGUUGUGAAGUAUGAUAGGAAAUGUAGAAACUGCGUUAAAAAUCAUAAAAGUUCUAAGGUCUCUGAGAAUGGACUCGCUAAAUUACGAAGAAAUCACAAGAAGGUAGCAGAAUGACAUAAAGAAAAUUACUUUAUCAAAUAGAAAUUCAGUGUUUGUUUAGGGUUGAAGAAAAAUCAGAAAUACAGAGAUAUGGGAAGAGACAGAGUGAGGGAUAGACACUUAGGCAUCAGGGCAGAGUGAGAAAAUCAACACGAGAAGGAUAUCUUCGUUCUUACAGCGGUCGAAAGCAGGUGUGGGAGGCGGGUGGGAAUAUUCACUUAAGCCAGAUUCGUUCAUCCAUCCCCAAAAGUACACAAUAACACUUCCUCGAAGCAUGUAAGUUUGCUGCCAGCAUUAAUACAUGUAUUAAAAAAAACAAAAAAAAACAAUGAGAAUGCAUGGACAGAAAUGACUAAAUUCAAAGUCACUUACCACUUUGAAGUGCAGCAAAGGAAGGGAAAAUAGUGCUGCGCGUGCGCACAAAUGACUCGAAUGCCGGAACGGUGAUUCUAAAAAUAGUUUCUAAGGAAAUCAAGUACCAUUUACAGCCACACCCUCUCACGGAUUGACGUAAAGGACACCAAAACUUGCUGACAAAGGCAUGAAGAAUUGGUCUACUGUCAUUUUUCAAUAUUUUUCCUCAUUUCAUAUAUCUCUAGGUCCCGGAUGGCAACAGACUUGAGAAUUUGGUUAUAAAGAAUUGUUUAAAAGACGUUUGUUUGUGCUUUUCUUUUCUGCGUAGGAUUCCAAUUAUUGUAUAGUUUCAGUUUGUUGUUUAUCUGCGUGUACUAAGCGUGUCGCGUCUGUAUGUGAAAAUCUCUUUAGACGUGUCUGUUGUUGACCUCUGUGCGUGUAUACGCAUGGACGUGCACGCGCACACAUACAUACUAGUUGAAUGACCCAGUGAAAAACUCAAUAAAAUAUAAACACAAUAGACCUGAUAUAAUGAUUUGGGAUAGAGAAGUGAAACUGAGUACAGUUGUGGAAAUCAGUUGGCCAGUGGAUGUUAAUAGUGGAAAAAUGAAUACCUGGUCUGAACUAUUGAGAAAUCUGCGGUUAUUCUAUCCAGCUUACAAGUUCAGGUUUAUUGCCUGUAAUUAUUGGAGCACUGGGGUAUGUAACACACUGCUUAAAUACCAAUCUUGAGAAAUUAGGUUUCUCAAAACCAGAAAGGAGAAAGCUGAUUUGAAGACUGUAGAUCCAAUCCAUCACUGGAACUGUAAAAAUCUGUAAAACUUUCCUGAAGUUUAUCUCUAUAAUUAAUUCAGAAAUGCGAAAAGUUUGUUUGUCUGGUUUUGGCAUUGAGAACGGGUUAAAGGCCACUAGAUCCCGUCGGAUUGACUCCAAAAUUUACAGGGACAUGUAAAAUUCCUCAUCUUAUAAAAUGUGGCCCAAGUAGACCUGAAUGAAAUCGGGUUAUAUUAACCAAAAUGUGAAAAGGGGUCUAAAUGGGGCUAGAAGGGGAUUAAAAUUUACAGGAGCGGGUGUUUAGGAAUUCUCUGUUACAUCAAGCUAAAAAAUUUGCUCCAGCCUUUAAAUCUUCAAUGUGUUGCCGUCCAUUAUGAAGAAGUUUUGAAUGCUUGCCAUGGUGAGUCUACUGUUGUGAGAAAGAAUCACUUCAAAACUUGGUGUUUAGGGAUUUUCUUUUACAUCAAGUUCAAAAUUUUACACCAGCCGUUAAACUGUCAAUACGUUGCUGUCCGUCGUUAAGAAAUGCCAGCCAUGGUGACUCUACUAUCCUCAGAUUCUAUCCCUUCAAACUUUGGUUUCCAAUAUUUUUUUUAAAUUUUUAUUCAGCUCGCAAGUUUGUCUGUCCCUUUUAAAUGUUAGUGUUUUACUGUCUGCCUUGAAGCAGACCUUUCCGUUGUCACUGCCUGAUAUUUAUGACUGAUCCUUCAAAAUAUUUUCUUUCUCAACUUACUCAAGAUCUUUUGUUGUUUAUAAAUGGGAGAUAGAUAGAUAGAGAAAGAUAGAGAGUAAGAGAAAGCAAGGGAGAGUCCGAGAGAAAGGAAGAGUAACAGAGUGAGAAAGUGAGAGAGAAACAAAGAGGGAGAAUGUGGUGAUAAAAAGCAAAAAGGAAGCAACAGAAAGUAAGAACCACACUCUUACCCGCGCGUAGAGCGGGUCACCUUAGGCUAGUCAUUUAAGUAUAUUUGAAAAUGUCUAGAUAUGCAAGUAUAUGCAUGAGAAGACAUACAUAAAACAAAACAUACAAUUCUGCACACAUACAUACAAAAAUACCCUGUUGUUGAUGUUGAAAUUCCAAUGAAGGAACCUUGGAUCUAGGUUAGAAACCAGCACUUUCUCUAUUGGCAAGAAAUCUUGAAAUAAAACUGAAUAAUAAUUGACAUACACACACACACACAUAUACACACACACACACACAAACAAACAAACACACACGCACGCACACACACAUACAUACAUACAUACAUACAUACAUACAUACAUAACCAUAUUUUAUCAACUUGUACCAGCAAGCUCUCUGUAGUGGAUCUUGCAUGUAUGAAGUGGAUUCGAUCCACUAUAGCCAAAUUUAAAUUAACGCUGCAACAGAACUGUUCCCAUGGUGGAACAAUGGUUUUUCUCUGACAGCAGUUUUACAUUUUCCAGAUGCCUUUAGCUAGGUCGAAAUAAUGUCUUCACUACUUGACCCUUUCUAACCUCUUCUACUUCACCAAAAGUGAAGAUAACAAGAUCACCAACUAAAUCUAUUGUUCUCACUGAUAUAUCUAUCCUUCUGUAUCUUUAUACAAGCAAGCAUACCCCAAGCAAAAAUGAGUUCGUCACAGUCAUGACAACUCAACGGAGUUAUUCACAGUCGGUGAUGACUCAACGAGGUCUGGCUGACCAGCCUUGGUCAGAGGGAGAUAUGAAGUUUACUGUCAGCAACGUCCCACACCCUACAAUUCUCACUAGCUCUAAUUCUGUUCUCCUACAACAUCAUUCUAUCUCUCUCUGUGUUUACUACUAAAUAAUGAAGAGGAUACAAACACAAACUUUACUCGCAUGAUUUUGGAUUUAUCACAACCUGCCCGUCGAGGUAUGGUGUUUUUCAGCGUAACAGUAAAUAAAUAUUUCCUUAAAACUUCAUGCAUUGUCUAUCUUUUACAUCUUACAACAUGCAGUUAUAACAACAAAUAAUUAUCAUCCCAGCAAGCUCUCAAUUGGAUCAGUAGCAUACCACACUGGUUAGCUCUGGUAGAGACAAAAUUGAUCGUCAAAUGCAGAACCACCCACAUGGCAAAAAACUACUUGCCAACUGCAUGCCAGAACUUAAUGUAUAAGAUAUAUACGGCAUGCUUAAACCUCUUUCUCCAAUAUCCUUGUGAAACCAAUAACAUCAUCACAGCAGAACAAGCAGCUGGGAAGAAGGGAGUCUGGAGAUGUGCCGAGUAAUUUUUAAUCAACAAAACUGUGAUGUCAGAGGUGCGGGAGCACAAGAAGCACUUAGUUUCAAUGUGGCUAGACUACAAGAAAGCCUUUGACUCUAUUCCCCAUCUGGUCACCAUCUUCAAAUUAAACACAAAGAGUGACUGUACUAUCACUGAUAGAAUACAGUAUCGCAGAGGCAUGUUCCAAGGGGACAACUUCUCUGUGAUGUUGUUUAUAUUUUCCGUAAACCCCUUGUCAUUAAUGUUAAGGAAGUCUGAAGGAUAUCUCACUGGUUCACAAGGAAACAGAAAUACCAAAAUUAUACAUUGCUUCUUUGUGGAUGACUUGAAACUUUAUGCAAGGAAUAUGUAUAAGUUGUAAAAGAGCCUUGACCUGGUUACAACAUUACAAAGGCUACACAGUUGGAGUUUGCUCAGGAGAAAUGUUGUUAUAUGGUUGUGAAACAGGGGAAAACUGUAAACCAGGCUAAGCAACAUCUCCAUCAAUGACUUGACUGUUUCCCUUAUAUCUGAUGAGGAAUCUUACAGGUAUCUAGGGGUGGAUGAAAGCAUAUCUUACAAUAGCACCUGUAACAAAACAUGUGUCACUAAAGAAUAUUACAGUUGGAUAAAGAAACUUUAUACCUCAGAACUCUCUGCAUUCAAUAAAACAGUGGUACACAAUGUGUUUGUAGUGCCAGUACUUAUACCAACAUUUAGACUGCAUUAUUGGAUAUUUGAAGAUAUCUGAGCCAUUGAUGUGAAACUUUGAAAAUACUAACAUGCACACUUAAUUUCCACAUAAACAGUGACGUAGACUGCUUCUACCUAAAAUGAAAACAAGGCGGCUGAGGCUUAACAUGAUCCAGUGCCUUUGAAUGUCAUAACAUAUCCAUUUGGCAACAUCUUUUAACCACCAAGUGUUGAAGUGCAUCCUUUGACCAAGUUUGCAAACAUCAGGUUGAAAGGCAGCUCCUUGAGCAACAUUCCUUGUCUGAUAACCCUAAACACAUGCCCAAAGAAGUUGCACAAUUCUACCACAACACAUCAUCAGGUGAAAGGAUGAGCAUAUAUGGACCAUGCAUAGAUAUGUUAAUAGAAAGCUCAGACAGGAUAGUAACAUUGAUGACCAAAGCAAUCUAUCAUGGACCAACAACCAGAUUACUAUCUCCCACAUUGAAGGGUAUGCAUUUACAAUCCAGGAACAGGAAAUACAAAUACUUGAUGCACAAAAGGGACAGAGAUGCAGGAAAAACAAUAAAAUGUGACAACCGAUGCAGACUUUAUGGAAUUAAUACUGAAGAUAUCACCCAUAUCUUAAGCAGUUGUCCAAAAAUAUCAUUAUGGUAUUAUCUACUGAUGAGACAUGACAUAGCUAAGACACAGUAUAGUGAGAUCUGUUGAAAAAGAUAACCCUGAGGACAAAGAAAUAAGAACCCACAGAAUGAUGGAAGCUAUAGCCACUCAUGAUACAAAGGAAUACUGGUGGAAUGUCCCAGUGGAAACCUCAAUGAAAUGCAAACACAACAGACCUGAUAUAAAGAUUUGGGAUAGAGAAGAGAAAAUGCAUAUAGUUGUGGAAAUCAGCUGCCCAGUGCAUGUUAACAUAAAGCUGAAGAUCAGUGAAACAUAGAAUACUUAUGCUGAACUAUUGAGAAAUCUGUAGUCAUUCUAUCCAGAUUACAAGUUCAGGUUUAUACCUGUAAUUAUUGGGCACUGGGAUAUGUAACACACUGCUCAAAUACCAAUCUAGAAAAAUUAGGUUUCUCAAAAUCAGAAAGGAGAAAGCUGAUUCGAAGACUACAGAUCCAUCAUUAGAACAGUAAUAAUCUGAAAAAAUUUCCAGAAGUUUAUCAUUUACGCAUAUAUGAACAAGUCUAAAUGUGCAAGUAUAUGUAUGAGAAAACACAUUAAACAAAACAUACAAAUCUGCAUGUAUAUAUACAUACAUACAAAAAUACCCUGUUGUUAAUGUUGAAAUUCCAAUGAAGGAACCUUGGAUCUAGGUUAGAAACUGACUCUUUUUCUAUUGGCUAGAAAUCUUGAAAUAAAACUGAAUUAUGACAUCCAUCCAUCCAUACAUACCUACAUGAUGAUGGCUGCAAACUUGUGUUCGAGUAUAGCCAUUGCCUGGUUGAAAGUCCUACACAUGCAAAGACUACAACCAGCCAAUUUUGUGGUAGGUCUUACUUUUCUUUUCAAGCGAUGUAUGAUGAUUUUUUUUAUAGCGGGGAAAGGACUUGCACAAAUCCAAUCUCACUCUCUGAACAUGGACAACAUAAACUCAAAAAGAACUACCUGGGCUGGUGGCCAGGCAUGCGAUUGACCCACAGGGAGUAGAGGCUCUCUCUGCUGCUGUCACAACAUCAUUCUAGGAGAGCAAAACUCUGAGAGAAAACCUGCAACACUGACAGUAUUUGACAUACAUACAUAUACACACAAAUGCAUACAUGCAUGCAUAAAUACAUACAUAUAUAGAUACAUACAUGCAUGCAUACAUCCAUCCAUCCAUACAUACAUACAUACAUACAUACAUACAUACAUACAUACAUACAUACAUACAUACAUACAUACAUACAUACAUACAUACAUACAUACAGCUGCCAAGCAGAUAUCAACAUAAAGCUAAAGAUCAGUGAAAAAGAAAACACCUACGCUGAACUAUUCAGAAACUUACAGUUAUUCUAUCCAGAUUACAAAUUCAGCUUUAUACCUGUAAUUAUCGGUGCACAGGGAUAUGUAACACGUUGCCUAAACACCAAUCUUGAGAAAUUAAGCUUCUCAAAACCAGGAUGGAGAAAGCUAAUUUGCAGACUACAGAUUCAAGCCAUCAACGGAAUUGUAAAAAUUUGUAAAACUUUCCAAAAGUUUAGUAUUUGAGUAUAUAUGCACAUGUCAAAACAUGCAACUAUAUACAUGAGAAUACAUAGAUAAAACAAAACUAUAAGUUUACACAAGCAUGGACUCCAGAUACUGCUCACUUACACACAUAGAUACACAAAUAUUCUGUUGAUUUUGAAAUUCCAAUGAAGGAGCCUUGGGUCAAAAGUGGAAACCAGCUCUUUCUUUAUUGGCAAGAUAUCUAUAUAUAUAUAUAAGUGAGAAUGUGUGUGUGUGUGUGUGUGCCAGCCUGUCUUUCUCUCUGCAUGUGUGCAUCACUAAACUUCGAGAACUACCCAACUGAUUUCAAUCCAAUUUUACGCAUGCACUACUUAGGGUUCAUGGAGUGUUAUAGGCCAAAAAAAUUUUCGACUUCUUUUCUAUCCUGCCUAAUGUGAGCCUAGAGCCAUCUCUUACAUUGUUUUGGUAUUACAUAUCAAAAAUGAAACAAUAAUAUCUGUAUUGUAAUAUGAGAUAAUAGUUUGGCUUUUAAUAGUUUCACUAUGUACGUUAUACAUACUUAGUGAAACUAUUAUCUUACAUUACAUAUAUACUUGCCUACAUACAUACAUACAUACAUACAUACAUACAUACAUACAUACAUACAUACAUACAUACAUACAUACAUACAUACAUACAUGGUGUAGACAACAAACAGAUGUAUUAGUAUAACGCUCAAGAAGUGAAAAAGUCUUUAAUGUUUUGAGCCUAUGCUCUUCCACAGAAAGGAACACAGAAAGAAACAAGGAGGGAAAAUAAAGAAUGUGUAGUGGCUAGCAAUCUAUCAUGGUGAAGAUGAUAUAUUCAUUAUAUAUAUAUAUUUAUGUCUAAUGGAUAAUAAAAUGAAUCGUUUACACCUGGUAGAUUUCUGGAAGUAACAGGGGUUUAUAUAGGGAUAACACCUUAUUUUUCCUAGACAGAAGUAGUAAAGUGCAGUUAGAAAGGCUUAGGAAAAAUUUCUUUAGACUUUUCAAAAAUUUAGGACUAAACAUUACCAUAAGUAAAGAUUAUCGUAGAGUGGACUUUCUUGAUACUACCUCCUGUCUUGAUAUUGGAUUAUUUGAACCAUUUCAUAAGCCAAAUGAUCAUAUUAAGUACAUUAACGUAACAUCCAACCAUCCACCCUCAAUUAUAUGGGGCCUAGUUAAGAAUAAUUCUACAAGAAUCUCUAGAUUAUCUGCUAAUAGUAAAAUUUUUGAAUCUCAUGCAACUUAUCAUAAUGCUGCUCUAGCUAGGGUUGGAUAACAUGAAAAAAUUCAAUAUAUACAAGAAACAGGCAUACACAACUCUGGUAAUUCCUCCAACUGGGAUUCACAUUGUAUACCACCACAAUGUUACCAUUUGAGAACUCACUCAGAUAAAGAAUACAGGCCAGAAAGAAUUGGUCAUAUCUAUGAACUACCAACAAAAACUCAUAGACACACGUGGCAUAAUAAUUCAACUGCUUGUUCCAGUCCUGUAUAACACACUCGAUCAAAUAAGCCUAACAACAGAUAUAGGAAUUGGGAUAUCCUCUGGUUCAGCCCGAUUUUCAGUUUGCAUGUUUCAACCAAGAUUGCUGAAAAUUUUUUUGCUGCUUUGGACAAGUGUUUUCCUAAACCUAAUCGGUAUCAUGCUAUUUUUAAUCAACACACUAUGAAGAUAUCAUGUGCCAACUCUGCUAAUUUGGAGCAGCUUAUGCAUUGCAUAAACAAUAGCAAAAUGCAGCAAAGGUUCAUUAAUCCACCAACUGGAUGUAGCAAACAUUUGCAUCCAAGGAGAUGUAAACCAAGGAGAUGUAAACCACAUUGAUAAACACCAACUACAACCAAUUUGUAGUAGUAGUAGAAGUACUAAGAAUCAGAGCUAGGAUGGUAACAAUGUCGGUAAAUGGAGUUGGGACAGCCUUAUAUAAAAUAGAUGUGAUAAAUGCUCAUGCAGAGAGAAAUCAAAAUGUCCUCUGAUGAAUCUCUGUAUGAAUACAAAUCUUGUAUAUAAAUGUACCGUGCACACAAAGGGAAGGCCAUAUGUUUACAUUGGACAGACAGCUGAUUCCGUUAAGAAUUGUUAUUGUAACCAUGUUGCCAGCUUUAAGACAUUCAAUAAGAGACAUUGAACAUCUUUGGUAGAUUUUGUAUGGCGACUGAAGGAUGAUAAAAUGAAGUGCAGCAUUAAUUAGUCUAUACUAAGGUAUGUGAAACCAUACAAUAUAAUUUCCAAGAGAUGCCAUCUCUGUUCUGAGGAACCCCUGUCUAUUCUGUGGACUAAUGAGAAGAUAAUUAAUAGAAUUUUUGAAUAACUUUCGAGAUUCCUACAUGCAUAUAAAUGUACUUUUGCACAAUGUUGUGAGAAUGAAUUUUGAGUAACUGUCAACUUAACUUAAUUUACUUUAAGAUAUGGAUAACUUAAGUUAACCUCCCCAUUCUUUUAAACACCAAGUAGAUAACUAACUUGCUUUGUGAUCAUGUGUGCACCAAACCUCAUGUGUGUGUAUGCUCACAUUUUUGUGGAUGCUUGUAUAAGCUAAGGUACUUGCGCCAUGCAGCUUGCCCAAGGGCGUUUAUACAUCCAUAUCUAUUAAUGGUUAUUUUUUAAUACUUUUCUCACUGGAUUGCAUGUUUGUUUUUCUUUUUGCCAUCUGUGAUUUUAUUUUUGAUCUUAUAUAUAAAUGAAAAUAUUUUCUCUGUCUGGCUGCUUUUCUCUCUACAAAACGGAAAGUUACAAUGCGGAACAGUCAUUUUUAACGAGUUGUAUUUAUUUAUCACCUGACAGGGAUACAUCUGCACCAGCGGAUGCUCUUGAACCAGUUGUUGAGUGUCCCACCCAAGAGGAAUCAAUGCUGGAUGUGUCAAAACAAUUGUCAUGAUUCAUAAUAAAUAUGUGUAUAUAUAUCUGCACAUAUGUUUGUAUGUAUAUAUGUAUAUAUAUAGAUGUAUAUGUAUAGAUGCAUAUGUAUACAUGUAUAUGUAUAGAUGUAUAUGUAUAUAUGUACAUGUAUAUAUAUAGACUUAUAUAUAUAUACAUAUGUAUGUAUAUAUGUGAGUAUAUUUAAAUAUUUAUAUAUAUUUGAAAUAAAAAUCAAAUUCGAUGACUGGCAUCCGUGCUAGCGGGGCACAAAGAGCACCAUACGAGUGUGAUUGUUGACAGAGCGGCUAACCGGCUUCCGUGCCAGUGGCAUAUAAAAGGUACCAUUCUAGUGUGAUUGUUACCAGCGUCGUCUUACUGGCACUUGUACCCCAUGCUAGUAGGGUGCUAAGAGCACUAUCCAAGCAUGAUCAUUGCCAGAGCGGCUAACUGGCUUCCAUGCCGGUGGCACAUAAAAGGCACCAUUCAAGCAUGAUCGUUACCAGCGUUGCCACUUGUGCCAGUGGUAUGUGUAAAAACAGUUGAGCGAGGUCAUUGUCAGUACGUCCUGACUGGCCCCCAUGCCGGUGGCACGUAAAAGCACCCACUACACUCUCGGAGUGGUUGGCGUUAGGAAGGGCAUCCAGCUGUAGAAACUCUGCCAGAUCAAGAUUGGAGCCUGGUGCAGCCAUCUGAUUCGCCAGCCCUCAGUCAAAUCGUCCAACCCAUGCUAGCAUGGAAAGCAGAUGUUAAACGAUGACGAUGAUGUAUGUAUGUAUGUAUAUAUAUAUAUAUAUGCAUGUAUAUAUAUGUAUAUAUAUGUGUACAAUAUAUGUAUAUAAAGAUAUAUAUACAUCCGCCUCGGCAAUGACACCUCAGUCUCACGCCAUUUCUGCUCCACCGGUCACUCCUUGCAACACCUGUCUGUGUUCAGAUUGUCCUUGCACAGAGGCCAUCCAGACUCCCGUUUGCGCCGUGAACAGGGAUUAAUCUUCUCUCUUCGCUCUUUUAUGCCAUUUGGGCUCAACUCUCCUCCCCUCUUCAUCUAACCUCCUCCCUGACUCCUACUUCUCUUCACUCCUACAUCUUUUCACCCCUACUCUCUUUCCCUCUUCUCCCUUACUCUCUUUCUCUCUUCUCUCUUUUUCUCUGCUCCCUCACUCUCCUUCUCUCUUUUUCUCUGCUCCCUCACUCUCCUUCUCUCUUUUUCUCUGCUCCCUCACUCUCCUUCUCUCCUCUCCCCCUCUCCCUCCUCCUUCUUUCCACCAACUCUCCUCUCUAGCCCCGACUCCUACUUCUCUUCACUGAUACUUCCUUUCACCCCUACUCUCUUUCCCUCUUCUCUCUUACUGUCUUUCUCUCUUCUCUCCUACUCUCUUUCUCUCUUUCUCUCCCCUCUUUCCCUCUUCCCUCUUACUCUCUUCCUCUCUUCUCUCUUACUCUCUUUCUCUCUCCUCUCUUAUUCUCUUUCUCUCUUCUCUCCUCCUCUCUUCUCUCCUACUCUUUCACCUUCUCUUUCUCUCUUCUCUCUUACUCUCUUUCUCUCUUCUCUCCUCUCUCUCCUCACAACAAAGAUGAGGACAAAUAUCAGUCAAUUGUAAAUAAUGUAAAUAAUGUACAAAAUUCCUCAUCUCUUAAAUAUAGAACUGUAUUUGCUUCCACACCUGAAAUUUCUCUCUAGUUCUGAUAGUAACUCAGGUGUUAGAACAAGGUCAUCAGCAUAGAGGAACUCCUAGGGGCAGCCCGUCUUGAAUUUCUCUGUUAUUUUCUGGAGGACUAUGAUGAAUAAGAAGGGGCUGAGGGCUGAUCCUUGGUGAACCCCUACUUCUACCCAGAAUUCUUCACUAUACUCAUGCCAACCCUUACCAUACUAACGGCAUAUCUGUACAAGGCCUACACAGUGCUUAUUAACCACACGUCAAUCACCAUGUCCUGCAUAGUCCACCAGAUAAGGGAUUGGGUGACCCUGUCAAAGGCUUUCCCCAAGUCAACAAGUUUAGGGGUUUAUAUUUGGCUAGAUAUUUCUCCUGCAGUUGCCUUACGAGGAAUAUAGCAUUAGUGGUGCUUUUACCUGGCACAAAACUUUUCUCCCUAAUUCAUUGGGCUGUGACCCUCUCCGUGACCUUCAUCACCUGAUCCAGCAGUUUGAUACCCCUGUAGUUAUUUCUAUCUAAAGCAUCACCUUUACCUUUGUAGCAGCUGACUAUGGUGCUGCUACGCCAGUCAAUGGGUAUGACUCCUUUAUGAACUACCUGGUUUACAAUACAGGUGACAAGGCCAUGACCCACACCACCAGAUAUUUUAUGCAUCUCAGUAGUGAUUCCUGAUGGGCUGGGGGCUUUUCCUGACUUCAUAUCCUUAAUUGCUUUAUCUACCAGGGUGCUACCUAUUCGGGUAACUGGUCCUUCUACUGGGUCAACAUUUGGCAGGCUCUCCUCCUCCUCCCAUUCAUUCUCCUCAUUCAGCAGCCUUUCAUAAUGGCUUCUCCAAGCCUCUUUCUUUUCAGAAUCAUUGAAAGCAAGUGCACCAUCAUCCAUGCAGACACAUUUCUCUCUUGUGACAUCACAAUUUUAUCUCACAUACUGUCUUGCAAUCCAAAAUACUUCAGUUCAUUGGUCCUCACGUCGCUGAACAUUGGUAAACUUCUUCUUAUCUGCUUUUCCCUUGGCUAUAUAUACCUGUCUCCCAGUCUUCCUUCUGGCUAUCUGGUACAGUUCUCUGCUACCCCCACUCUUCCAGGCUUUCCAGGCCUGUUUCUUUGCUCUAAUGGACUUGUCUAUCAUAUUAUUCCACUACCACGUUACUCUAGGUCUGAAAGGGACUUUGCGCCAUCCGCAGAUUUGGUCUGUGGUGCUCAGUAAGCUGUCCCGUAGGAAUUUCCAGUUACCCUCUAUGUCUGAAGUCUGUAGCUCCUCCUCCCACUCAUCAAAUUUCUCAAUGAGGAUGUCCCUAAAUCUCUGACCAUGUGACGGGUACUUUAGCUUCCAAAUCCUUCUUUUUUGGAUUGGUCUGUUUCUUGGCACCCUUCUGGCCUCGAGUCUAAAGUCACUAAUAACUAGUCUAUGCUGGGGGGUACAUACUUCAACAGGGAGGUUCAUUAUAUUUAAGAGCAACCCUGCAUCCCACUAUCUGGUGAGGAUGAAAUCAAUCUGGCUAGCAGAGUUGCCUGAUUGAUAGGUUAUCAGGUGGUUGUCUGGCUACUGAAGCCAGUGUUGCAGAUUAAUAGGUUACAUGCAUCACAGAACUCCAGUAGUCCAGAAAAGUUCCCUCUGUUUUGGGAACCAAUUCCAUGGCCCCUGUGAACACCAUAGAAGAUGCCAGAUUGCUAUCGGACAUGCCCAUUAAAAUCUUCAGCUGCAAAGAUGAGGUUGUCACUCUUCUUGAGCUGGCCUGUAGAAGGGUGUCAUAGAAGUGGUCCUUCUGAUCGUUUGGUAGGCCCACUUGUGGGGUGUAGGCAGAGAUAAUUGUAGCUAUACUAUUCUGCAGGACUAGCUUGAGUUUAAGCACUCUAUCGCAUACCCUCACUACCUCUAUGACCUUAUCCAACCAUUUCUCUGCAAGGAGCAUUCCCAUACCUCCUACUCCACCACUGUUACCUGUGAGGACCCUGGAUGAAGCACCUCUCCACCUUACUUCUUGUAUGCAGCAUACAUCAACAUGUCUCCAUUCAAGCAUCUCUACAAUCUCACCAGACCUACCUUUCAGUGUGUCUACAUUGACAUAGGGAAAGGAACGUGGGAGGAGGCAUAGGGAGGGGGAGAUAUUAUUCAGUGCCUGAAAAAGAAGAAGAUUUUCGUGUUCAUAUAUGUAUAUAUUACAUGGAAAAAUGCAAGCAUGAAAAGUAAUAUUCUUAAGAUUAUAAACCUGGAAAAGUACAGGUCAAGUUAUUACACCUGGAAAAGUAUAGAACAAACUAUUACUUCAAAUAAAGUAAAGAAUAAGAAACUUUUUACUUAAAAUAUUGCAGCAAAGAAUGCUAGUUCUUCUAAUUUAUCACUCUUUACAGUUCUCAUCUUUCAAAUUUAUUGUGCAAAACUAUUCAGCUAAUUUGUAAGUUUAACUAGUCACUUUUUUCUGUAUUUAAGGUAGUAAAUUAGCCAAAUUCUACUUCAAUAAGUAUAGUGUUAUUUGUAAACUAUAAUAAAAUCAUCAUCAUCAUCAUCAUCGUUUAACGUCCGUUCUCCAUGCUAGCAUGGGUUGGACGGUUCGACCGGGGAUCUGGGAAGCCAGAAGGCUGCACCAGGCUCCAGUCUUAUCUGGCAGUGUUUCUACAGCUGGAUGCCCUUCCUAACGCCAACCACUCCGUGAGUGUAGUGGGUGCUUUUUACGUGCCACCUGCACAGGUGCCAGGCGAGGCUGGCAACGGCCACGGUCGGAUUGGUGUAUUUUAUGUGCCACCGGCACGGAAGCCAGACGAGGCGGUGCUGGCAUUGGCCACGAGUCGGAUGGUGCUUUUUACGUACCACCAGACCAGGGAUCCUGGCUGGUUCAAUUCGAUUUCGAUUUCGCUUGCCCCAACAUGUCUUCGCAAGCAAGGGGGUUGGCAUGGGUGCCUGUUGUAUGGUCAGAUUGGUGUAUUUUACGUGCCACCGGCACGGAAGCCAGUGGAGGCGGCGCUGGCAUCGGCCACGAGUCGGAUAGUGCUUUUUACGUACCACCAGACCAGGGAACCUGGCUGGUUCAAUUCGAUUUGAUUUGAUUUCGCUUGCCCCAACAUGUCUUCGCAAGCAAGGGGGUUGGCAUGGGUGCCUGUCGUACGGUCAGAUUGGUGUAUUUUACGUGCCACCGGCACAGAAGCCAGUGGAGGCGGCGCUGGCAUCGGCCACGAGUCGGAUAGUGCUUUUUACGUACCACCAGACCAGGGAUCCUGGCUGGUUCAAUUCGAUUUUGACUUCGAUUUCGAUUUCGCUUGCCCCAACAUGUCUUCGCAAGCAAAGGGGGUUGGCAUGGGUGCCUGUUGUCGGAUGAGGUUCUAUAUCGACUUCGCUUGCCCCAACAGGUCUUUGUGUCCAAGGGAGGAAAGGCAUUCAUAAGUGGGCUGGGCUCACUUGUCCUGCCUGGUCUUCUCACGUACAGAAUAUUUCCAAAGGUCUCGGUCGCUGGUCAUUUCCUCAGUGAGGCCUAAAGUUCGAAGGUCGUGCUUCACCACCUCGUCCCAGGUUUUCCUGGGUCUACCUCUUCCACGGGUUCCCUCAACUGCUAAGGAUUGGCACUUUCUCACACACCUAUCUUCAUCCAUUCUCGCCACAUGACCAUACCAGCGCAAUCGUCUCUCUUGCACACCACAACUGAUGCCUCUUAGGUACAACAUUUCUCUCAAGGUGCUAACGCUCUGUCGAGUAUGUACACUGACAUUACACAUCCAUCGGAGCAUACUGGCUUCAUUCCUCACGAGCUUACGCAUGUCCUCGGCAGUCACGGCCCAUGUUUCACUGCCAUGUAGCAUGGCUGUUCGUACACACGCAUCAUACAGUCUGCCUUUUACUCUGAGCGAGAGGCCUUUAGUCACCAGCAGAGGUAAGAGCUCCCUAAACUUUGCCCAGGCUAUUCUUAUUCUAGCAGUUACACUUUCAGCGCACCCACCCCCACUACUGACUUGGUCACCUAGAUAACGGAAGCUAUCAACUACUUCUAGUUUUUCCCCUUGGAAAGUGACUGAAGUUAUUUUCUGCAGAUUUUCGGAGGUUAAUGCUCCUGAGCAUCUGCCACAUACAAAAACUAUCUUCCCAGUUAGCCUACCUUUGACAUUGCUGCACCUCUUAUGUGUCCAUAGCUUACACUGGGUACAUCUUAUAAAGUUUCUACCUACACCUUUUCUACAGAUCGAGCAGGGCCAUCUUCCUGAAGACAUUUGCGGAUUGUCUACCUUCCUACUUAUUAGUACUUUGGUUUUAGCUAGGUUGACUCUAAGGCCCCUCGAUUCUAAACCCUCCUUCCACACCUGGAACUUCUCCUCCAGCUCUGAUAGUGACUCAGCAAUAAGAGCAAGGUCGUCAGCAUAGAGGAGCUCCCAGGGACAACCUGUCUUGAAUUCCUCCGUAAUUGCCUGUAGGUCUAUGAUAAAUAGGAGGGGGCUGAGUACUGAACCCUGGUGGACCCCAACCUCUACUUUGAAUUCUUCUGUGUACAUGUUGCUAACCCUAACUUUACUUACGGCAUCUCUGUACAUGGCUUGCACAGUCCUCACCAGCCAUUCAUCUAUCCCUAGUUUCCUCAUUGACCACCAGAUAAGGGAUCGGGGGACCCUAUCAAAAGCUUUCUCCAUGUCAACAAAAGCCAGGUACAGGGGCUUAUCUUUGGCUAGGUAUUUCUCCUGCAGCUGCCUUACCAGGAAUAUAGCAUCCGUGGUACUUUUCCCUUGCACGAACCCAAACUGCAUCUCAUCUAAACUAACUCUCUCUCUAAUUAGUUGGGCUAUGACUCUCUCCGUAACCUUCAUUACUUGAUCCAACAGCUUGAUACCUCUGUAAUUAUUUGUAUCUAGGGCAUCACCUUUACCUUUGUAGCAGUUGACUAGUAUGCUGCUACACGAGUCAUUGGGUGUGACUCCUUCGUGUAUCACCUGGUUGACUAUACGGGUGACUAGGUUAUAGCCGACACUGCCAGAUAUUUUGAGCAUCUCUGCAGUAAUUCCUGAUGGGCCUGGGGCUUUCCCUGUCUUCAUGCUUCUAAUUGCCUUAGCUACCACGGAACUAUCAACUCGGAUAGCUGGUCCCUCUGUUGGGUCAACAUUCGGCAGACUCUCUUUAUCCCAUUCAUUUUCUUUAUUCAGCAACCUUUCUCUUUGCAUCCUCAUUUAGCGCAAGUGAACCAUCAUCCAUGCGAACACACUUCUCUCCUACCACAUCACGAUUCUCUCUCACACACUGUCUUGCAACACGAAAUACCUCAAGUCUUUCAUCCUCACGGCUUCCCCUCUGGCUAAAUAAACCUGUCUCCUAGCUUCCCUUCUGGCUGUCUGAUACAAUUCCCUGCUACCACCGUUCCUCCAGUCCUUCCAAACCUGUCUCUUUUGUCUAAUAGCCCUGUCAACCACAGAGUUCCACCACCAUGUUACUCUGGGUCGAGAUGGUACUUUGCUCCAUCCACAGAUCUGGUCAGUGGCUGUCAGCAGAUUGUCCCGUAGAAAUCUCCAGUUGCCUUCCACAUUAAGUGAAGCUAUAUCCCCUUCUAUUUCGUCAAAGGCUUCGAGUAGUAUGUCUCUAAAUCUCUGUCCAUUUUCAGAAUCUUUAAGCUUCCAGACCCUUCUCCUCCAAGCAGGUCUUCUUCUGGGCAACCAUUUAGCUCUGAUCCUUAAGUCGCUAACUACUAAUCUAUGUUGAGGAGUACAUUCUUCGCCUGGAAAGGUUUUGGCAUUUAUAAGCAGCCCUCUUUCCCUUUUUCUGGCAAGGAUGUAGUCAAUCUGGCUGGUGUGUCUGCCAGAACGGUAGGUGACUAGGUGAGAGGUGGGUUUCCUGAAGUUGGUAUUGCAGACCAUAAGGUCAUUUGCAUCGCAGAACUCCAGCAGCCUGGUUCCCUCCUCAUUUCGAGAGCCAAAACCGUAGCCUCCAUGGACGCCAUGGAACCCCCCGACAUGCCGUCCGACAUGUCCAUUGAAAUCACCUGCCACGAAGAGAAGGUCACUGUCAUUUGUCAACGAGGUAGUCCGCAAUAGGGUGUCAUAGAAUUGGUCUUUUUGUCCUUCUGGUAGUCCUGGUUGAGGGGCAUACGCCGAGAUGAUGGUAGCUGUCCUGUGGUGAAGGACUAAUCUAAUUUUAAUUACUCUGUCACUUACUCUGACUACCUCGAUUACCUUACCCACCCAUUUCUCUGCAAGAAGUAUACCCACGCCCCCGACCCCGUCAGUGUUCCCUGCCCAGAAAAUCUUGUACCUGUGUUCCUUGCCUGUGAGGAGCCUAGCGGAACCUCCUCUCCACCUUACUUCCUGGAUACAACAUACAUCCACACGUCUCCGUUCAAGCAGCUCUACAAUCUCUCCAGACCUACCUUUCAAUGUGCCAACAUUGAGUGUGCCAACUCUGAGAGUGUGGGAGGUGUAGGCCUCUGAGACCCUGGGAUGAGGGACAGUCGUGUCAUGUACCUGAAAAGAGAGCUUGCAGUUGGCAGAUUUCAUACUGAAACACUAGACUUCAACCUGCAUACAUUUCACAGUUUUUGCGCUAUAUGAUCAAAUAAACCCUACAUGGGGAUGGGGGUGGGGGUGGGGGUGGUAAGUAAGACUGGGUUAGAAACUUCCAUACAGCUGCAUACGUUUCACCAUUUUUGCUCCAUGUGAUCAAAAAGAACCGACGUGGGUGUAUACGCGGGAGGGGGGAGUCAAGACAGCGGUAGAAACUUCCGGUUAUUGGUGGAGGGGGUGGGAGGGCGGGCACCUCGAAGGAGCAGCGAGAAUGAAUAUAAAUCGUAGGGAAUAUUACACACCAUCUGGCGAGAAUGAAUAUAAAUCGUAUUGAAUAUUACACACCAUCUAGAAACUUUGGAAAUAUUAGUAGAACGUAAUUUAAAUGAGAGGGGGCGAGAUAGUACUUGUAAGAAGUCAUUUGGAAUGGAAUAACACGAAGGGGCCUGAAAACAGAACAGACAGGAAGCCGAGUUGGCAAUGGCGAUAUAGAUAAAGAUAGUAGAGAAACGGGAUUAGGUUUACGAUCAGCGCUUAAAAAUAUGAAUGAAUGACAGGUUAAAAAGUGAAGAACGCUUAUCUGGGCAUGUUUCUGAGAUCCGUGUUGUCAUCAAGUAGCUCGAGAAAUGGGACGAAAUAAAAUCGUACACUGGUUUAUAAGGAGUUAGGGAUUGGGGUGGGGUGGGGGGUGAGUAAAACAUAAUUUAAAUGAGAGGUAGCAGGGAUAGUACUUUGUAAGGAAUCCUGGUGUGGCCUUGAAAGCAGAGAGGGGAAUCGAGAGGACAGGAAGCCAUGCUGACAAUGGCGAUAAGAUAAUAGAGAAACGGGAUUUGGUUUAUGACCAACGCUUAAAAUAUGGGGUUGAAAUGAAGGAGCAGCGAGAAUGAAUAUAAAUCGUAGGGAAUAUUACACACCAUCUGGCGAGAAUGAAUAUAAAUCGUAUUGAAUAUUACACACCAUCUAGAAACUUUGGAAAUAUUAGUAGAAUAUUCAAAUUUUAAUUUUAGCUGCAAUAUUUUAAGUAAAAUGUUUCUUAUUCUUUACUUUACUUGAAGUAACAAUUUGUCCUAUGUAAUUACUUGUGUAAUUACUUGUCCUGUACUCUUCUGUACCUUGUUCUGUACAAGGGGUAAUUACUUGUCCUGUACUUUUCUAGGUUUACAAUCUUGAGAAUAUUACUUUUCAUGCUCGCAUUUUUCCAUGUAAUCCAUGAUUUUUCCAGACAUUGCAGUUAUAAGAUAAUUAAUAAUGUUUCAAUUAAUAAUUUAAAAUUUUACUUUAGAAAAUACUGAAAUAUAAUAUUUCAAUUUUUCCAUGUAAGUGAUAAUGAUAUUUCAGUUUUUUUGUGUGUUUAAUUUAAAUAUAUGUUGUGAUUGAAUUAUUUGAUAUUAUCCAUCCACAUCAAAUUAAUGGCAGGGAUUUUUACCAUGUUGUUAGUUGCACCAUGGUUCACCAAAAGUUACAAACAACAAGACCCCAAAACCAUCAGUCACCAGGCUCGCUUUAAGUAACCUAAUUUCGCAAUAAAAAUGACUAUUAUUGUGACCUUCAAUUUUUAAUCUCCAAAUUUAAGAAAAUGUUCUUGCUAACUUUUUUUUUAUUUAUGAAUUCUGUUCCUAAAUAAUCAUUAAUUGAUCAUACAAUCUACAUCUUAAAUUUAAUUUUUAGUUACAAUUCCACUGAAUUUUGUUUUUUAAUGUUUUUUACAUUUUUUUCAUAAAUAAUAAAACAAUGUCAGGCAAUAUGGGAGGAAAUUUAGUAUGUCUUUUUGUAAUAAUGUUGUCCCAAUUAUCAUCUCCAGUUUUAAUCAGUGUAGUAUAAUGACCUGCUUUUAGGGUAAAAUUUGUGCCAAAUAUUUGCUGCUUUUUUGAACUGAAGUUCAUUAUAUGACAUUUGAUUCUUUCUUCCAUAUUUUGAUUAUUUAAAAAUCUAUUAAUUUGAAUAAUGAGAUAUUUCAAUUCAGGAGGAAAUUCAAUUCUGGAAGUAAUUACAUGAUCAGUAUUGAGUGAACAUGUUUCACAAUUUUUUGUAAGUGAAUAUGUUGUGGUUUUAGCAAUCUGUCUGUCUGUCUGUCUGUCUAUCUAUCUAUUCCUUUCGUUUGUGUUUUAAAGCACACAACUCAAUAGGAUCAUGGUCAAGAUUGGUUGUGUGAGUGCGCAUGGCUUGGGGUCCCCUUUAAAUGACAUCAAGUCAUAUAAUUUGGAAAUCAUAGCAAUAAGUGAGACCAGACUCCAUGAACCACGGGUCCUAAAGUCCAUCUUUGGCGGACAGUUUAACAUUUAUUUUUCUCCCUGUCUGCCAAGAAUGGGCAGUAGUGGCAUGGUGGUACUUUUUCGCAAGAGUCUGGAUUUCGAAGUAAAGACGAUAUUCGUAGACUGGUUGUCCUGGAUGUCAACGGCAGGGAUGGGUGCGCUUUUCGACUCCAGGCAGUCUAUGUACCGCCUUUAACAGGUCGGCCAGAUUUCUUUCAAUGUCUAGAAGUAUACCUGGGAACGUCUCGUCCUUUACUUUUAGUGGGGGAUUGGAAUGCUACCUUGGACACGCAUCUAGACUACGUGGGGAGAGACGAAAAUAGACGGGGAUUUAAAUGCCUCAGAGACCUGCUCAGACACUUUCAACUGUCUGACAGGUACUGACUUGACCACCCAAAUGUGCCAACGUGGACAUUGAGCAACCGCAUUGGGUAGUCGAGAUCGUAUCUAAAUAGGAUACUAUGCAGGACAGCAGAUAGGGAUAGCUAUAAUGUCCACAAUUACACAUAGUCAGCUACACAGAUCACAAACUUGUGACGUCUACACUAGACUUAGAUAAGGCACAUAGGCAGGGUCCCGGUUACUGGAAACUGAAUGCAUCUUUCCCGUUGAGACAAGUUUUCAGAAACCGAAUUAGCACACUAGUAAAGAGGGCUUUGACGGGAGCCAUCGUCAACAACAAAUGGUGGUUUGCCCUCAAGAGAGCAGUAAAAGCAGAAGCCAUUAGGUACAGCAAAGCACUAGCCAUAGAUAGAAACAGUAGAGGGUGAGCUAGUUAAGAAGUUAGAAGAGGCAAUAAGAAGCGGCAUCACAUCCGACGUUUUGGUGGCGAGGUUGGCCCUCGACCAACACUUCAACGCCAAACACGAGGGGUGUGCUGUCAGGGCUUGGAUGCGUGCUCUAAGGAUGGAAGGUGUUGGAGCCGCAAGAGAGGCCUGGGUGGUGGAGGCACAGUGGGGCAACAAAGCCACGAUUCAGUCUCUGGUAGAUGAACAAGGACGCAAGUUGCUCAAGCCGAGCAAGAUGUGUGAGGCAUUUCAGCAGCAUUUUGCCCGACUGUUCGGGAGGAGUGGCGAGCGAGAAUGCAGUUUGAACUUCAGUGACUACCUGCACAGCCUGCUACGACUCUCGACAAGAGAGGCGGAGUGCUGCGAAGGUGCCAUCACGGAUGUGGAUGUGCGGGACGCAAUGGCAGAAUGCUCAAGAGACAAAUCGCUGGGUUUGGAUGGUCUGCCCUACGAGUUUUACAAUUGUAUGCCAGACUUGUUUGGAGAUGUCUUGGCAGCGGUAUACUGCAACUGGCAGCAAAACGGGAGCAUACCCAGUUUUGUGAGUCGAGAAGCCGUAACGCUGCUGAAGAAAGAUCCAAACAAGGGGGACAUUAUAGAUAACUUUAGGCCCAUCACUCUGCUCAAUGCAGACCUGAAAAUUUUGACCAAGGUGUUAGCCAAGAGGUUGGUACUUGUCAUCGAGAAACUGGUCGACAAGGCGCAAACGUGUGCCGUGCCGGGUAGGACUAUCCAUGACAACUUCCAUCUGAUGCGCUACAUCAUAGACAGAGUAGUUAAGGAACCUGGCAUGGGUGGGGCCCUGAUCAAUUUGGAUCAAUCGAAAGCUUUCGAUAGGGCAGACCAUUGAUACUUGGAGGCAGUCCUGAGAGCGGCUGGUUUCGGUCCCAUUUUCCGCGGCUGGAUAGCUGCUUUGUACAGAGGUAUCCGUUCGGCAAUUUGCAUAAUUGGACAUCUAUCGAGAACUUUCGACAUUGCAUGUUCGGUUCAUCAGGGAUGCCCCCUCUCGUCGCUUCUAUACGUAUUGACUCUUGAGCCACUACUGCGGAAGCUGGCGACUCUGAGGGGCAUCCCACGAGAGCUGGGAUGUGGGACGAGCGUGUCUGCAUACGCGGACGACGUCACCAUCAUAGUGUCAAGCCACGAGCACAUCGAGCUGGUCGGCGAGACACUGAAAGACUACGAAGCGGUGACAGGAGCGAAAAUCAACCGGGAAAAGUCAGUGGACUUGCGGCUCGGCACUUGGAGAAGCAAGCCCAUGCCGUCCAACAGCGCCUCCGUCGUGGGAUGCUGGACGGACGGCCCAGUCGAGUUGCUCGGGGUCUUGUUCGGUCCGGACCUCCAAAUGGAGAAGAACUGGAAAGAGAUAACGAGUAAGGUGGUCACUCUCGCCCGGCAAUGGGCUGAGAGGAAACUGUCCCUAAAAGGUCGGGCGGAGGUGGCGAACACGUACAUCGCGUCUUUCAUCUACUACCGCCUGACCGUCGUACCUUGUCCCGACCCUACCAUCACCAAACUAGAACGCAUUCUCUCCCGCUUCUUGUGGAAAGGAUGCAUCCCGAUGGUCAGGCAAUCCAUUUGCUGUCAACACCCGUUAAAAGGAGGGCUGGGCAUGCCGUGGCUGAUGAUGCGCAGACACGCGCUGAGACUGCGACAUCUCCAGCUCUAUGUAGACGACAAUGAACAGGUGUGGUCGCCGUUUGUGAGGCACGCCUUCUCGCAGCUCGUCUCCAUGACCGAACUGCAGUCGUGGAUCAAAAAGAGGCCGAGGAAGGGCAAAUGGCACCGCGACUGUCGCGUUGCUCUCAAGCAACUAUGCCGUUCCGGGUCGACCUUGAGUGACUUCAACACAACCAAAGCAUUCUAUAGGGGAUUAGUGGAGGGGAGGUACCAAGAAGCGCUACCUGUUCGGGAUAAGCUCUAUAGGCAUGGCUCGAGAAACACGAGGUCGACUUGCUCGAGAUGCAGUCAGAGCGACGAAACCGUUCUGCACGCAAUCGUGCAGUGUCCAACAAUUUCCGACCUGUGGACUUAUGUCGAACGACUGCUGUCACGUGUGGGACGUGUCGGUUUAUCAGCCGAGUCUAUCGUUAAUAUCGUCACGCCGUCAUCCUUCAAACAGGAAGGAAGAGCUAUUUUUAUCAUACUUGUGGCUAUGGCAAAAGAAUGUAUCUGGUGGACGCGCCUGAGAGGAUUAGAGACAAACACUUUCCUCUCUGGUCACUCUCUCAUCAACUUCUUCAAGUAUCACUUGAAAAGGAAAGUGAGAGGAGAUAGGCAAGUUUUGUCUAAUGAAUGUUUUAAAAAAAGAUGGGUGAAUGUAGCAAGGAUGGCAUGUAUGAAUGACGAAGCCACCUUGAGUAUGAUCCUAUGAACGGUAAAAAUUUAAUACAGAGAGUUAUUUAUUUGUAAAAAAAAAAUGUAACAUGUGACUUCAUUGACCGAGGUUACCGUGGUCUUUUCCGUAGGCUUUUCUUUCCACGGGUAAACCUCACCUGUCUUCCCCAUUACACUUUAUUUUGACAAUCGAUUUUUUCUUUUUCCUUUUAUUUUAUCCUCCCCCUUUUUUUCUUUUGUUUUCCUCUUUCUUUCCUUUUAUGAUCCCUUUUGAUCGAAAACCAACCCCCUUUUUUAUCCCCAAAAGAAAAGCUCUACCUUGUAAUUUGUCCCGUCUAUGUGCAGCCCUGUGUGGCUAAUAAAGAAACAUAUCUAUCUAUCUAUCUAUCUAUCUAUCUAUCUAUCUAUCUAUCUAUCUAUCUAUCUAUCUAUCUAUCUAUCUAUCAGGGGUACGAAUUACUCAAGCCUGAAAGGAUGUGUGAGGCUUUUCAACAACACUUUACCCAACUGUUUGGGACAAGUGGUGGGUCAGAACGCAGAGUGGACUUUAGUGCCUACCUGCAUGCCCUGCCAUGACUCUCAGCAUGAGAGGCGGAGUGUUGUGAAAAACCCAUCACAGCCGCCGACGUACGGGAUGCGAUGGCAGGCUGCGCGAGAGACAAGUCACCAGGCUUGGAUGGUCUGCCCUACGAACUUUAUUGUCACAUGCCAGACUUGUUUGGAGGCGUCUUGAAAGCUAUCUACUGCAACUGGCAGCAAAACGGAAGUAUCCCCGCCUUUGUAAAGCAAGGAGCAGUGGCAUUGCAAAAGAAAGAUCUAAACAAGGGGGACGUCAUAGAUAAUUUUAGGCCCAUCACUCUGCUCAACGCAGAUUUGAAAAUUUUGGCCAUCGAGAAACUAGUCGACAAGGCGCAAACGUGCGCUGUGCCGGGUAGGAGUAUCCAUGACAACCUCCAUCUGAUGUACUACAUCAUAGACAGGAUAGUUAAGGAUCCUGGCAUGGGUGGGGCGCUGAUCAAUUUGGAUCAAUCAAAAGCCUUCGAUAGUGUAGACCGUCGAUACUUAGAGGCUGUCCUUAAAGCGGCUGGUUUUGGUCCCAUCUUCCGUGAUUGGAUCGCUGCCUUAUACAGCGGCAUCCGCUCGGUAGUUCGCGUAAAUGGUCAUCUUUCCAGACCUUUUAACAUCAUGCAUUCGGUUCGUCAAGGAUGCCCCCUAUCAUCGCUUCUGUAUGUAUUGACUCUCGAGCUACUACUGUGGAAACUGGCGAUGCUGAGGGGCAUCCCACGAGAGUUGGGAUGCGGGAGGAGCGUGUCUGCAUACGUGGACGACGUCACCAUCAUAGUGUCGAGCCACAAGCACAUGAACCUGGUCGGCGAGACACUAAAAGAAUACGAAGCGGUAACGGGAGCAAAAAUUAACCGGGAAAAAUCAGUGGGCUUGCGGCUCGGCACCUGGAGAAGCAAGCUCAUGCCAUCCAACAGCGUCUCCAUCGUGGGACACUGGACCGACGGACCGGUUAAAUUGCUCGGAGUCUGGUUCGGUCCGGACCUCCAAAUGGAGAACUGGGGCGAAAUAACGACUAGGGUGGCCACUCUCACCCACCAAUGGGCUGAGAGGAAGCUAUCCCUAAAAGGUCGGGCGGAGGUGGCGAAUGCGUACAUCGCUUCCGUCAUCGAGUACCGCCUGACCGUCGUGUCUUGUUCCGACCCUACCAUCACCAAACUGGAACGCAUACUCUUCCGCUUCCUGUGGAAGGGAAGCGUUCCGAUGGUUAGGCGAUCCAUUUGCUGUCAACACCCGCUAAAUGGAGGACUAGGCAUGCCAUAGUUGAUGAUGCGCAGACAUGCGCUGAGACUGCGACAUCUCCGGCGCUUCAUAGACGAUGGUGAACAGGUGUGGUCGCCUUUUGUGCGACGCGCUUUCCCACAGCUCAUCUCCUUGGCCGAACUACAAUCGUGGAUCAAACAGAGAGCGAGGCUAGGCGAAUGGCACCGCGAGUGUUACGUUGCCCUCAAACAACUCUGCCGUCCAGAACCAAAUUUGUGCUACUUCUUUACAACAAAGGCGUUCUAUAGAGGAUUAGUGGAGGUGAGGUGCGACGACGUUCUCGGGCAGAAUCUGGGCAUCGACGAGAGACACCUGACCCGCCUGUUCAGGACAACUUUCGGGCUAGGACCAAUGGACAAUCACCAAAGAUCUCUGGCCUAUCGAGAAGCAUUACCUGUUCGGGAUAAGUUCUACAGGCACGGUUCGAGACACACUGGACCGACUUGCCCGAGAUGUGGUCGGAGCGACGAAACCGUUCUUCACGCACUCGUGCAGUGUCCAUCUAUUUCGGACCUGUGGGCUUAUGCCGAACGGCUGCUGUCACAUGUGUUUAUUUCCUCCCUACCUGAGGUUACCGUGGUCUUCUCUGUAGGCUUAUCUUCCCACGGAUGAACCUAAUCUUGUUUGUUACUUUGAAAAAAAAAAGUUUUUCUUUCUGUGAUACACGAUCCCUCUUGAUCAUUUUUUUCUCCCGACCCCUUUUGAUCGAAAUUUUACAUUUGUUUCCUUUUUUUUCCUUUUCCAUCUUCGAAAAGAAAAGCUCUACAUUUGUAAUUGUCCCCUCUGCAUCCAGCCCUGUGUGGCCAAUAAAGAAGCAAGGUUACCUUCUAAAUGACAUCAAGUCACUCAACGUUGAUAUAGUAGCUAUCAGUGAAACCAGACUCAGUAAGCCGCGGGCCCUCGCGUCCAUGUUUGGCUGUCAAUUCGACAUUUAUUUUUCUCCCUGUCUGCCAAACAUGGGUGGUGGUGGUACCGCGGUGCAUUUUCGAAAGAGUCUAAAUGUAAAAGUAAGAUCAACAUUCCUAGACCCGGAGGGUAGGCUGGUUGUCUUGGACGUGGAUGGCAGAAAUGGAUGUGCAUUCCAUCUGAUGGCAGUUUAUGGGUCGGGCGGAUUUCUUCAGACGUCUAGAGGUUUUCCUGGGUACGUCUAGACCUUUACUGUUAGUAGGGGAUUGGAACGCUACCUUGGACACGCAUCUAAACUAUGUGGAAAUGGAUAGGAAUAGAAGGGGAUGUAAGUGCCUCAAAGACCUGCUCAGACGUUUCCAUUUGUCUGACAGGUUCCGACUCGACCAUCCGAAUGUGCCAAUGUGGACUUGGACAAACUGCGUCGGAUCGUCGAGAUCUUAUCUAGAUAGAAUUCUAUGCAGGACAGAGGAUAGGGAUAGUGUAGGAUGUCCACAAUUUAAAAUAGUCAGCUACAGAGAUCACAAAUUUGUGACGUGUACGCUCGACUUAGAUAAGACACAUAGACAGGGUCCCGGUCACUGGAAACUGAACACGUCGCUCUUAGCGCGACAGGUUUACGGGAACCGGAUUAGUGAGUUAAUUAAGAGGGCGUUGGCGGGAGCCAUCGUUAACAACCGCUGGUGGUUUGCCCUGAAAAUGGCCAUAAAAUCGGAAUCAAUCAGGUUUAGCAAAGAAUUAGCGAUAGAUCGAAAUAGAGUGGAGGGAGACUUAGUUAAGAAACUAGAAGAGGCACUUACCACUGGCAGCACAACCAACGUGCUGGCUGCGAGGAGGGCCCUUGACCAACACCUCAACGCCAAACACGAAGGUUGCGUCGUCAGAGCUAAAAUGCGUGUCUUAAGGAAAGAAGGGAUCGAAGCUGCGUGAGAGGCCCGGGUAGCGGAGGCGCAACGUGGCAACAGAGCCACCUUUCGGUCUCUAAUAGAUCAACAGGGAUGCAGUUUACCCGAACCCGAAAGGAUGUGUGAGGCCUUUCAACAGCACUUUGCUCGACUGUUUGGUGCGAGUGGUGGGUCGGAAUGCGGGAUGGAUUUCAGUGCCUACCUGACCGGCCUGCCGCGGCUCUCGGUAAAAGAAGCAGAGUGUUGUGAGAGUCCCAUCACAGCUGCCGACGUACGGGAUGCGAUGGCGAGCUGCGCGAGGGAUAAGUCACCUGGUUUGGAUGGUCUACCCUACGAGCUGUAUUGUCAAAUGCCAGACUUGUUUGGCGACCUCUUGGCAUCCGUCUACUGCAGCUGGCAACAAAACGGGAGAAUCCCCGGUUUCGUGAGCCGAGGUGCAGUGACGUUGCUGAAGAAAGACCCAAACAAAGGAGAACCAUACAUGACAACCUCCAUCUGAUGUGCUACAUCGUGGACAGGGUAGUUAAGGAUCCUGGCAUGAGUGGGGCGCUGAUCAAUUUGGAUCAGUCUAAAGCUUUCGAUAGGGUCGACCAUCGGUACUUGGCGGCCGUCCUCAGGGCGGCUGGCUUCGGUCCCGUAUUUCGCGGUUGGAUCGCUGCCUUGUAUAGCGGCAUCCGAUCGGUAAUUCGGGUGAAUGGUCACCUGUCGAAACCGUUUGACAUCACGCGUUCGGUCCGUCAGGGAUGUCCUCUGUCGGCGCUUCUGUAUGUAUUGACUCUUGAGCCGCUACUGCGGAAGCUGGCGACACUGAGGGGCAUCCCACGGGAAGUUGGUUGCGGGAGGAGCGUGUCGGCAUAUGCGGACGAUGUCACCGUCAUAGUGUUGAGCAAAAAGCACAUCCAGAUGAUAGGCGAGACACUAAUACGAAACGGUGACGGGAGCGAAAAUUAACCCGGAAAAGUCAGUGGGUUUGCUACACGGCACCUGGAGAAGCAAGCCCAUACCGUCCAACUGCGACUCAGUAGUGGGACGCUGUCAAAGUCAUUGAUACUGCAACCACGAUCGUUAACAUCCUGUCCCCACCACUAUCACCAAGACUACCACUGCUACCACCACCACCACCACCACCACCAGCAACAACAACAGCAACAAUGAAACCAUCACAUAGCUGUCCACCGUGACCUCCACCAAAGACAGUACUGCCAACACUAACACCACUACUACAACUAACAUCUCUGCUACCAACACUACCACCACCACCACCACCACCACAACCACCACCAAUGAUAAAACAAGUUUUGCGGAAGCGAUAAAACAAACAAAAAAACACUGCAGAAGAAAUAAACAAUACAAAGGCGCUUCUUAGCAAAGAAUUUACAUCUCCAUAUUCCAAAACAUAUCAUAGAAAAUACACAAAAAAGGACAAUCAUAUAUAAAAUUAUCAACAUGAAGACAAGACGACCGGAAAAUUUACCACAAUCAAAAAUAGAAAAAUGCCUUUGCCCUGUGUGGGCACACAAAGAAUACAUCAAUUGGUGACAUAAAUUUGGCACAGUUCAAGUGCGAUUCCACAAUGAAAAUUUAGCCAAACGGUUUUCAACAUUAACUCUCCACACGGACGAGUUGGUGAUGAUACUAACAUAUUUAGGCCAGAGUGACGAAAGUCACAAUAAAAAAUGUGCCACAAGAAGUAGAAACACAAUGGCUAGUAUCUGCGAUCUGCUUUGAACUGGCAGAGACUAACAUUCUGGAAAUUGAUGUUUUAGAACAGCAAAGCUGGGUCAGAAAGACACUUCAAAUACUUAUGCAAAUUGAUCAAUUAUCCAUAAACAAGAUACCCACCUCUAUAGAAUUGACAGAAGGCUACAGCUUGCCCGAUGGCAAGUGGGCCUCUGCGCCAUUAGAAUCUAUAUAUGGGGGCCCAUGUUAGUAUUUAAGGGGCCCAUCCCUUCAAGUUUGAAAAAUUUUUAUUCACUCCUUGAAGAAUGCAUUAAUUAUCUCAGCCUCACUGUGUUUGUAGACAGUUGAAAAGAAUGCUUUUAACAAACAAACAAAAAUUAAAUGAAAGCAUUAUAGUUGCAAAUUAGUCUCCUUAGUCUCCUGGCAACCAAUAUUUUCAGACCCAGUCCGCCACUGUAUAUAUACAUAUAUAUAUGUAUAUAUAUAGGAGAAGAAAUACACACACACACACAUAUAUAUAUAUAUAUAUAUAGGAGAUCUGCUUCUUCCUUCUUUGUUAUCUAAUUAAUUAAAGACAUACCAGCGAAAACCACAAGCUUCCCAAUGUUAUUAUAUCCAUUUUCUUCUCCUAUAUGACCUAAACCUCGGUUUACCAACCGAACCACCUGCUACAGUACAACCUUACAAAAGAUUGUACCUACCCAGGUAACAACCAGGAGUGACUCUGGAUUUAAUUAUACUUUAGAGGUAUUAAACCCCUCUAACUGAUGCCUACACUAUAUAUAUAUGUGUGUGUGUGUGUGUGUGUGUGUGUGUGUGUGUGUACACACAUAUAUCUGAAAUGCGUUUUUACCGCUUGGUUCGCUUUCAAUGCCACUACAUCCCGUCCGAUUCGAUCCAAAAUUUACACGGACAUGUAGAAUGAGGUGACGAUGCGCGUGGGCUACCUUACAAAUCCCUAUCUUAAAAGGUGUGGUUGCUAGGGGCCAUCUUCCUACCUCACCCUAUUUCCUCCAGUACUCUGUCACUCCUCUUCAUUUGACAAUGCAACUACCGUUAUUUAAUGUAAAGUCUUCCUCAAAUCACUCUGUCGCUCUUUCCUCUCUUCCAAGAACAUUUUCACUCACUCUAUCUCUUACCUUCCUAUACAUUUUACUCAUGUAUCUAUCAGCGUUCAUGGACAGUAACAAAUAUUACAUCGCCAUCCCCAUUGCCAUCGCAUUCUAUUGUCUACCUGUCAACACACACACAUAUAUACAUAUAUCUAAUAUUAUAUUUUUAUUUUUAUGUUUUUGUUUUUGGUGUUUUACUGUUUCAUUUCCCUAUUAGUGGUUUUAUCUCUAAUUUAAUUUCUACAGCGUGCACACACACACACACACACACACACACACACACACACACCUAUAUGUGGCCCCAG
rnacentral:lncRNA from 1 species